rnacentral:rRNA from 1 species
GAUGAACGCUGGCGGCGUGCCUAAUACAUGCCAGUCGAGCGAACAGACGAGAGUGCUUGCACUCUCUGACGUUAGCGGCGGACGGGUGAGUAACACGUGGGUAACCUACCUAUAAGACUGGGAUAACUUCGGGAAACCGGAGCUAAUACCGGAUAAUAUUUAGCUUCGCAUGAAGCAAUAGUGAAGGACGGUUCUGCUGUCACUUAUAGAUGGACCCGCGGUGUAUUAGCUAGUUGGUGAGGUAACGGCUCACCAAGGCAACGAUACAUAGCCGACCUGAGAGGGUGAUCGGCCACACUGGGACUGAGACACGGCCCAGACUCCUACGGGAGGCAGCAGUAGGGAAUCUUCCGCAAUGGACGAAAGUCUGACGGAGCAAUGCCGCGUGAGUGAAGAAGGUUUUCGGAUCGUAAAACUCUGUUGUAAGGGAAGAACAAGUACGUUAGUAACUGAACGUACCUUGACGGUACCUUACCAGAAAGCCACGGCUAACUACGUG